AAUAUUGCGCAAUGGAGGGAACUCUGACGCAGCAACGCCGCGUGAAGGAUGAAGGUUUUCGGAUUGUAAACUUCUUUGAUCGGGGACGAAAAUGACGGUACCCGAGGAACAAGCCACGGCUAACUACGUGCCAGCAGCCGCGGUAAUACAUAGGUGGCAAGCGUUGUCCGGAAUUACUGGGUGUAAAGGGCGUGUAGGCGGGAAGGCAAGUCAGAUGUGAAAGCCCAUGGCUUAACUGUGGAACUGCAUCUGAAACUGUUUUUCUUGAGUACUGGAGAGGAAAGAGGAAUUCCUAGUGUAGCGGUGAAAUGCGUAGAGAUUAGGAGGAACACCAGUGGCGAAGGCGGCUUUCUGGACAGUAACUGACGCUGAGGCGCGAAAGCGUGGGGAGCAAAC
rnacentral:rRNA from 1 species